GAUGAACGCUGGCGGCGUGCCUAAUACAUGCAAGUCGAACGAAAAGAGGAGCUUGCUUCUCUUUUAGUGGCGAACGGGUGAGUAAUACAUAAGCAACCUACCUAUUCGACCGGGAUAACAGUUGGAAACGACUGCUAAUACCGGAUAGGUGCGCGGGGGACAUCCCCUGCACAUUAAAGCUGGGACACAGCACGAAUGGAUGGGCUUAUGGCGCAUUAGUUAGUUGGCGGGGUAACGGCCCCCCAAGACGAUGAUGCGUAGCCGACCUGAGAGGGUGACCGGCCACACUGGGACUGAGACACGGCCCAGACUCCUACGGGAGGCAGCAGUAGGGAAUUUUCGGCAAUGGGCGCAAGCCUGACCGAGCAACGCCGCGUGAGUGAAGAAGGCCUUCGGGUUGUAAAGCUCUGUUGUAAGGGAAGAAUGGCCAAGAGAGGGAAUGCUCUUGGAGUGACGGUACCUUACCAGAAAGCCACGGCUAACUACGUGCCAGCCGCCGCCGUAACAC
rnacentral:rRNA from 1 species